UUCCGGUUGAUCCUGCCGGAGGCUACUGCUAUCGGGGUUCGAUUAAGCCAUGCGAGUUAAAUGUUCUUCGUGAACAUAGCGAACUGCUCAGUAACACGUGGAUAACCUACCCUUAGGACCGGAAUAACCCCGGGAAACUGGGGAUAAUACCGGAUAAGCCAUAGACACUGGAAUGCCCUAUGGUUCAAAGCUCCGGCGCCUAAGGAUGGAUCUGCGGUCUAUCAGGUAGUAGUGGGUGUAACGUACCUACUAGCCGACGACGGAUACGGGUUGUGAGAGCAAGAGCCCGGAGAUGGAUUCUGAGACACGAAUCCAGGCCCUACGGGGUGCAGCAGGCGCGAACACUUUACAAUGCGGGAAACCGCGAUAAGGGAACCCCGAGUGCCAGCAUCAAAUGUUGGCUGUCCAGAUGAUUAAAAAUCAUUUGUUAGCAAGGGCCGGGCAAGACCGGUGCCAGCCGCCGCGGUAACACCGGCGGCCCGAGUGGUAACCGUUUUUAUUGGGUCUAAAGGGUCCGUAGCCGGCCUGAUAAGUCCUUUGGGAAAUCUGGCAGCUUAACUGUCAGGCUUCUAAGGGAUACUGUCAGGCUUGGGACCGGAAGAGGUAAGGGGUACUCCAGGGGUAGGAGUGAAAUCUUGUAAUCCCUGGGGGACCAUCUGUGGCGAAGGCGCCUUACCAGAACGGGUCCGACGGUGAGGGACGAAAGCUAGGGGAGCAAACCGGAUUAGAUACCCGGGUAGUCCUAGCUGUAAACGAUGCUCGCUAGGUGUCAGACACGGUGCGACCGUGUUUGGUGCCGCAGGGAAGCCGUUAAGCGAGCCACCUGGGAAGUACGGUCGCAAGGCUGAAACUUAAAGGAAUUGGCGGGGGAGCACUACAACGGGUGGAGCCUGCGGUUUAAUUGGAUUCAACGCCGGA
rnacentral:rRNA from 1 species